UGGAGUGCAGUUUCGCUCUAUUGCACAGAACCUGCAGAAAAUAAUAACUAAAGCAGAAAUAUCGAGUUUUUCUUUAUUUUUUCGUUUGGCUAUUAGCAACCAUGGUAACAUUCUAACAUCAGCUAUAUAAGAAGUAGCCAUACAGAUAACAUGAGUUCCUUAUAUAAUUCAACUGCAUUGCAAUAUAUUAUACAAAAACAUGUGGAGGCGAGAGGAGUGCAACUACAUACAAAAACUGGGGAAAAGAUUGGUAGCCCAUGUUGGAUGCACAGGUUUAACGCUAAUUAAUUCGGUAAUCAAACACAACACAAAGUAUUGGCUUCGCAUCAAUCAAUCGAUAAUAGCAAUACAUAAAUAUAUAAAUAGUAAAUAAAAGAGGAUCUAGCAAGCAAGAUUGGGAGCAUCGAUAGAUGGCAAGAAAUGAUUGAUUUUGGCCUGACGAAACGAACAGAUCGACCACGGCCUCGCCUCACAUGCGUGGGGAAGUACCGGAUGACAGUGGCAUGGUCGCCGUGCAAUAACGCAGCGGCGCCCUCCUCGCGCCCACUCGNN
rnacentral:lncRNA from 1 species